rnacentral:rRNA from 1 species
UAGGGAAUCUUCGGCAAUGGGGGCAACCCUGACCGAGCAACGCCGCGUGAGUGAAGAAGGUUUUCGGAUCGUAAAGCUCUGUUGUAAGAGAAGAACGUGUGUGAGAGUGGAAAGUUCACACAGUGACGGUAACUUACCAGAAAGGGACGGCUAACUACGUGCCAGCAGCCGCGGUAAUACGUAGGACCCGAGCGUUGUCCGGAUUUAUUGGGCGUAAAGCGAGCGCAGGCGGUUUAAUAAGUCUGAAGUUAAAGGCAGUGGCUUAACCAUUGUUCGCUUUGGAAACUGUUAAACUUGAGUGCAGAAGGGGAGAGUGGAAUUCCAUGUGUAGCGGUGAAAUGCGUAGAUAUAUGGAGGAACACCGGUGGCGAAAGCGGCUCUCUGGUCUGUAACUGACGCUGAGGCUCGAAAGCGUGGGGAGCAAACAGG